CCUACGGUGUGCUGCAGUAGGGACUAUUGCUCAAUGGGGGAAACCCUGAAGCAGCAACGUCGCGUGGAGGAUGAAGGUUUUAGGAUUGUUAACUCCUUUUGUGCGAGACGCUAAUGACGGUAUCUCACCAAUAAGCACCGGCUAACUCCGUGCCAGCAGCCGCGGUCAUACGGCGGGUGCAGGCGUUACUCGGAAUCACUGGGCGUAAAGCGUGCGCAGGCGGGCUUGUAAGUCAGAUGUGAAAUCCUGUAGCUUAACUACAGAACUGCAUUUGAAACUAGGGGUCUAGAGUGUGGGAGAGGUAGGUGGAAUGCUUGGUGUAGGGGUAAAAUGCGUAGAUAUCAAGAGGAAUACUCAUUGCGAAGGCGACCUACUGGAACAUUACUGACGCUCAUGCACGAAAGCGUGGGGAGCAAACAGGAUUAGAUACCCGAGUAGUC
rnacentral:rRNA from 1 species